UUGAUUUGGUAUCAGAACCAAGUUCCCUUUGGUGCCUCCAACCCUAAAUCGGCGAUAUCUUCUCCACCGUCUCAAUUUCUCUUCCGAUCAAAACAUGGUUGUUAUCGUUGCCUUUAGUGAUACAUAGAAAACUGCUCACAAUACCCACAAAUUUGCAUUCACUCUUUCUCCUACUAACUAUGGUUUCUGGAAGGCAAUGCUCGAAUCAUUCCCAAUCACCAAUCACCAAUCACUUGACCGGCUAUGUGGAUGGCACCAUCAAAUGUCCAGAACAAAAAAUUACCACAACAAAUGCAAUAACUGAUAACCCUAGUUAUCCUCAUUGGGUUUCCAAUGAUGCACACAUAAGAAUGAUAAUUCUAUCUGAAGCAUCUUUCCAACAUGUUCAAGUUACUUCGCAUAGAGAUGAAAAGUGAUGAAACUCCACUGACCUAUCUUAGCCGAGCAAUGGAAUAUGUGUCCGCUCUCGCUAAUAUCGGUGAACUCAUGAAGGACAAGGAUCUAGUUAUGCUUACAAUCUCAGGUUUGCGAGAUGAAUAUAAUGGUUUAAAAUCAAAUCUUCUGGCCCGCCAUCCAUCGAUCACCUUCAAUGACCUACAUGGUCUUUGAUCUGACCAUGAUUACAUGAUCAACAGAUCAACCAUGUUACCUGUUGUUGCCUCACCACAAGUUGAUUCUAGGGGGUGUUUGGCUAAAAGUGUACUUUGAAGUUUUUACAUAAGGAAGAACAGAACUUUUUGGAAAAAUCAGUAAAUCCUGACUUUUUUGUAACUUUUCCAAAGGACUUUUGAGUUUGAAAAGCUAAGCCAAACACUCCUAGAUUCUGUUCAUAUACAAGUUAGCCAAAUCAACUCUUUGAGAAUCUAGAAUCCUAAGAAGAUUGGAGUAUUUUGUGUAUUUUUCUAACUAAUCUCUAGGAUGGGUAACUGCCAUUAAAUGUUGGGAAUUCCAACUUAGGAGUGAAAUUAAAAUUUCUCAGAGAUGGGUAUUUCCCUUUUCAACUAAAUUGACAUUUAUACCCUUCUUGUAAUAAUUGUAUAACAACUAUCCCUAUAUCAAUUUUUCUUCUUUUUCAA